rnacentral:rRNA from 1 species
AUUGAACGCUGGCGGUAUGCUUAACACAUGCAAGUCGAACGAUGAGAAAGAGCUUGCUCUUUCGAUUAGUGGCGGACGGGUGCGUAACGCGUAGGAAUCUACCUAUUAGUGGGGGACAACUUAGGGAAACUUAAGCUAAUACCGCAUACGCCCUACGGGGGAAAGAAGGGGAUCGCAAGACCUUUUGCUAAUAGAUGAGCCUGCGUAGGAUUAGCUAGCUGGUGGGGUAAAAGCUCACCAAGGCGACGAUCCUUAACUGGUUUGAGAGAAUGAUCAGUCACACUGGAACUGAGACACGGUCCAGACUCCUACGGGAGGCAGCAGUGGGGAAUAUUGGACAAUGGGCGAAAGCCUGAUCCAGCAAUACCGCGUGUGUGAAGAAGGCCUUAGGGUUGUAAAGCACUUUCAAUUGGAAGGAAAACCUCGAAGCUAAUACCUUCGAGUUUGACAUUACCUUUAGAAGAAGCACCGGCUAACUCCGUGCCAGCAGCCGCCGCCGUAA